rnacentral:rRNA from 1 species
UACGUAGGUGGCGAGCGUUGUCCGGAUUUACUGGGCGUAAAGAGCGCGCAGGCGGCUGGUCAAGUCCGAUGUGAAAGCUCCCGGCUUAACUGGGAAAUUGCAUCGGAAACUGAUCGGCUGGAAGGUGGGAGAGGGUAGCGGAAUUCCCGGUGUAGUGGUGAAAUGCGUAGAUAUCUGGAGGAAUACCGGUGGCGAAGGCGGAUCUCUGGGCCGAUACUGACGCUGAGGAGCGAAAGCGUGGGGAGCGAACAGG